GACGAACGCUGGCGGCGUGCUUAACACAUGCAAGUCGAACGGAAAGGCCCCUUUGUGGGUACUCGAGUGGCGAACGGGGGCGUAACACGUGCGUAACCUGCCCUUGACUUCGGGAUAACUUCAGGUAACUGGGGCCAAUACCGGAAAGGAAUCCUUGCUGCAUGGUGGGGGUUGGAAAGCUUCGGGGGGUUUGGAUGGACUCGCUGCUUAUCAGCUUGCUGGGGGAGUAGUGGCUUACCAAGGCGUUGUCGGGUAGCCGGACUGAGGGGGCGACCGGCCACAGUGGGACUGAGAUACGGCCCAGACACCGACGGGAGUGAGAAGGGGGGAAGAUUGACCGAGGGGCGGAAGCCGGAUGCAGCAACGCCGCGUGCGGGAUGACGGCCUUCGGGUUGUAAACCGCUUUCAGCAGGAGCUAAGCUUGUGGUGACGGUACCUGCAGAAGAAGCACCGGCUAACUACGUG
rnacentral:rRNA from 1 species